rnacentral:rRNA from 1 species
CCUUGCCAGCCCGCUCAGAAACUUAAGGAAUUGACGGGGGCCCGCACAAGCGGUGAGCAUGUGGUUUAAUUCGAUGAUACGCAGGAACCUUACCUGGGCUCAAAUGUAUGUUGACGUAUUCUGAAAGGGAUACUUCUUCGGACAAUAUACAAGGUGCUGCAUGGUUGUCGUCAGCUCGUGCCGUGAGGUGUCGGGUUAAGUCCCAUAACGAGCGCAACCCCUAUCAUUAGUUGCCAUCAGGUCAAGCUGGGGACUCUAAUGAAACUGCCUACGCAAGUAGUGAGGAAGGUGGGGAUGACGUCAAAUCAGCACGGCCCUUACGUCCAGGGCUACACACGUGCUACAAUGGCCGGUACAAAGGGCAGCGACACUGCGAGGUGAAGCCAAUCCCGUAAAAUCGGUCUCAGUCCGGAUUGGAGUCUGCAACUCGACUCCAUGAAGUUGGAAUCGCUAGUAAUCGUGGAUCAGCAUGCCACGGUGAAUACGUUCCCGGGCCUU